GUCAGAUUGAAAAAACAUAGUCUAUAAAGGGUUCAGUACUAUCUGAGGUUUCAGGCACCCACUAGGGUUCUUGGAAUGUAUCUCCUCCUGCAGAUAAGGGAAGAUGACUGUAUAACAAGGGGUUCAGUACUAUCUGAGGUUUCAGGCAUCCACUGGGAGUCUUGGAAUGUAUCUCUUGCAGAUAAGGGGAGACUACUGUGUUACAUUUCAGCUUCCAUAAAACUUUACUAAUUUGGAUUAAGAACACAAGCCUGAUUUAGUAAAAAGUAUCCAUAAAUAUUCAGAGGUAUAGUUUUGUUUCAUCAAGUAAAAAGAGCAACUAAUUCCAACUGUUGAAGUAGUAACAAGUAAAG
rnacentral:lncRNA from 1 species